UUAGGUGAUCGAAGACGAUCAGAUACCGUCCUAGUCCUAACCAUAAACGAUGCCAACUAGAUAUUGGAGGCUGUCAUUAUCAAGGCUCCUUCGGUAUCUCAUGAGAAAUCAAAGUUUUUGGGUUCCGGGGGGAGUAUAGUCGCAAGGCCGAAACUUAAAGGAAUUGACGGAAGGGCACCACCAGGAGUGGAGCCUGCGGCUUAAUUUGACUCAACACGGGAGAACUCACCAGGUCCAGACAUAGAGAGGAUUGACAGACUAAAAGCUCUUUCUUGAUUCUAUGGGUGGUGGUGCAUGGCCGUUCUUAGUUGGUGGAGUGAUUUGUCAGGUUAAUUCCGUUAACGAACGAGACCUCAUCUUGCUAAAUAAUGAGUCACAAUCUCGAUUGUGAUAAUCGUUUCUUAGAGGGACUUUGCGCGCUCUAGCGCAAGGAAGUGUGAGGCAAUAACAGGUCUGUGAUGCCCUUAGAUGUUCUGGGCUGCACGCGCGCUACACUGAUACGAUCAUCGAGUUCCCACCUUUUCCGGAAGGAUCGGGCAACCUUAAAAAUUGCAUCGUGAUGGGGAUCGAUUUUUGUAAUUAUAAAUCUUCAACGAGGAACUCCUAGUAAGCGCGAGUCAUCAGCUCGUGCUGAUUGCG
rnacentral:rRNA from 1 species